UUAUCUAUUACUCAAAUGCAAAAGAAAGGUUUCUCCUAACUUGAUUUGAAUGAUGAAUGAUUUGAUACAUUAUCCUGUACCAUGUCGAUCUCAUCACUCCAUCCAUCCAUCCAUUCAAUAAUUUUGAACCAAUUGACUGGGGUCAGGUUAUGCCAUGUCCUGGAUCUUCCCAUGGGACCCCUUCUUCCGGUGGAACAUGUUUGAAACACCUGACCAGGUAGGCAUCUAGGAGGCACUCCGAACACUCCAAACUACACCAAGCUCCUCCUGGGUGACAGAGCUCCUCAGGCACUCUCUAAUGGCCUAUUUCCUACUAAGUGGUACAGAACAGUACGGUAUAGGUCGGUGUGGGUCGCCUUUAUCAGACUUGCGUAACCAAUCCUAAAAGGGUACCAAUGGUACUCCUUUGGUGGGUGUGGUGUAUGACAGAAAGUUUUCGUCGUCAUCAUUCUCAGAUGCAUUCAGAAGCACUUCAAUUAUGUUAUUAUCAUUAGCUGAAGAAGUUUGUUCAUUCAAAUAUAGAUACGCGGCAGGUGUACGCGAGAAAGCGAAACCGCUCAAGCUUUAGACGGCCUUGUAAAAAACUACAUGGCACAGGGCAGAAUCUGCUCUUCUUUUUGUCUUUGUCGAUGUUCAUAAAGACGACAAGGCUUGUUUGAACUAGGGUCGACUAUGGCUCGUUAUUAUAUGUAUAUAUUAUUAUGGUGUAAUAUUUCGGCUGUGUAUUUAAAACAUGGUGGUUCCCUGGUUUUCAUUCUGACUUGUUGCACGAGUGAGUGACGUAUCUCUGUAAACCAUUAGCAUUGCACGUCUAGCUCCGCCUUUUAGUACCCUUUUGUUGUGCUAGGUACCCUUUGCAAAGGGUACCCAAAAAGUGGUACUGUUCACUUUUAGAGUACCACUCAACACAGUGGAAACGGGCCAUAAGGGCAUGCAUGCACCAGACACCCUACAUCAAAAGGCUGUGCCAUAAAAAUAAUGAACAGAUCGGGUGACAAAGAGCAGCCAUGCCGACACCAGGAACAAGUCUGACUUAUUGCUGGCAAUGCAAACCAAGCUUCUGCUGGUUAUACAAAGAUGGCACAGCCCUUGACAGAGUGCCUUAGACUUCAUACAUUUUGAGCAUUACACACAUUAUGCACCAUUAUAUACCUUCUACAAGUCUCAGAAGCAUAUCUGAAUUGGUUGGGUGAACUGCCACAAACCCCAAGCACCCUAAAGAGGCUAUAGAGAUGAUCCAGUGUCCCAGGGCCUAAACAAAAGGUGCAUUGUUCCUUUUGAAUCUGAGGUUAUACUAUUGGCUGGAUUCACCUUUCCAAGUACUUUGGCACAGACCUUUCUAGAGAGGCUGAGAAGAAUAAUCCCUCUAUGAUUGGAACACACCCUCUGGUGUCCCUUCUUAAGAAUGAAGACCACCACCCCAGUUGCUCAGUCCAAAGGCACUAUCCCUGACCUUCAUUCAAUGUUGUUGAGGUAUGUCAAUUAAAACAGCAUCAACACAUUCUAGGAGCUAUGUUGUCAGAGGCAAAAUGCCCCUUUGAAGGGUCUCCCAAAGCAAAAUGUUCCUAGGUGACAAAGCAGACUAUGUGUGGUUCAGAAACCUCUUAUGAGGGAUAAAACUCUAAUAUCGUUCAGUAUGAUGCAAUUAGGGCCUCACCCUGGAAAAAAAUGACCUGAUUUUUAAACAUGUUGAACCCUUUAAAUCAAACUAUAUUAAGACUCACUGACAAGUUUCUUUUUCACCAAUGUAGCACAUCUGCAUUAUGUCACAAUUAAAAAAUCUGCAAUCGUAUGCCUUAGGUAAAACUGUGACUUUUCUAAUUACAUACGGAUAUGCCUAUAGAGAGAAUCUAUGCCUAUAGGGGAUUUUUUUAGGAAUGCAUUUCUGACCUUCACCAUCUAUGCACCUGCACACACCCAAACCUACUGCAUUUCUCUAGAGAGUGCUUAAGCUCCCAAGGGAGUUGCUCUUACUGUAGAACAGUUCUGUGACAAGAUCUUUAAUUGCACAUACAAGCACAUGAGCAAAUGUACGCUGUAUGUGCACACCCUUAAAAUUAACCUUUUUUUUUUUUGGUUCAGCUGGAUACAUGAACGUGUGAAAAGGCUGAAAAUAAAUGAACUCCAAUUCAAUAAAUAAGCCACAGUGUCAUAAUGUUGGUGGCAUUCAGCUCAACAAACACAGAUCUCUAUCUUUUUCCCUCCAUGCAGUGUGACCUACAUAGUGGAGAACUACUGCCUGAUGGUGCAUGCAGCUGCCACAAGAAUCCACGCACACACAAACACGCAUGCAAUCAGAUAUGCAUGUAAUGCACCAAACAUAAUUUGUAUUCAUGCUUACAAUUCAUAUUCAUUCAGCUUUUUCAUCACGACUGUGCUUCUUUCAAACAUAAAAAAUCUGCAUACAAAUUCAGCAAGGAUGCAUUGCUGUUAUCAAAACUGAAAGUGAUAGUAAAGACAUUUAUAAUUGUUGUAAAAGACAAAAUGAUGAACUUUUACACUUUGGAUUCAUAAAAUGAUAUGUAUUGUAGAUGAAUAAAGUGCUUGUGCUCCCUAUGGCCAGUUCUUCUGGUACAUCACACGAGUGACCUUAUUAUUAAAGAGCCGCUGGUUGUUCUGACUAAGUGUUCUUAGGUCAGACUUGUCUAAUGUCUGUUUUACAUUGUACUGUUUGAGGCUGGCCAAGAUGAAAGAUGACCAACAUGAAACAACUGUGUCGAUUUCUUUGAUCCUGGCUUCUAAACGGUGGUCCUACUAAAUGUUGUACUUAAGAGAUUUAAAAACCCCUGUUGUCAUGGUCUUGCAACCAAUAUGACCUUCUAACAGUGUAAAUACUGCAAUGGGAUACAUCUACUGACAAGCCAAUCAAAAUUCAUAAUGAAAUGACAUGUUGAUCAGUGAAACAUGUAAAAAUAACUCAAAGAAAUGAAGGAAUACUAUGGCAUUCCAAUAAAUCUGGUGGAUGUGUCCUGUUUUACUAAAGUGCAGAUCACCUUGCUUUACUGUAUGUUUAUGAUUUUAUUUUUCUACUUGUGUUAUAUUCAGUAGCUGUCACCUUUGUGAAGUCUACAUACAGUACACGUCAUGUCCAAGUUUAUUAGAUCCACGCAGUUGGAUUUUUAAUGAACUGUAAAAUUGACAAAAUCAGAGGAUCUUCUAGGAGACUUAAUACAGACCCACAUACUGCUACUUAACAGGCCGGCUUAAAAAGAUCACCACUCGCACAAGGAUUUCCAGCCAGUUGAGAGGCUAUUAAAGGUCCGUCCUACAGUGUCUGAGAGUAGGGUAAGUGUUAAGAGCCAAUACUGGCAGAUUUCAUCAGACUUGAAUGGCCCAUAGUGUGAAGUCCUGUGGAAAGCAGACAUGUUUCAGACAAAACACACACAGAGCUUCCUUUCGCACAUGGCAUGGGAUGUCAUAUGUCAGUGUUUUGCACAUCUACUACAUGUCUACUGCCACAUAACCCCAGGCAAAGCUCCACUUAGAAAUCUGUUGUGGCUGUGAACACGUGCCUUGUCAUAAAUCAUCUUGCCCUUGAAGAUUAUGCUGUGUAUUUAUAGAUACAGCCAUUUAUAUGCAACACACAAAGAUGCAGAAAAGGUCACCAAAGAUGAAUAAAGAUUAAACUUUCAUGCGAUGCUUAUGCUGUCUGCAAAAACCACUUGCUAAUUAUAACAUUAUUCUGUAAAAUCCAGCAUGAUUAAACCAAUGUAAAUGUCAAGGUCAAAUGGCAGUGCAAUGAUGUUUUAUGUGACCUUUGUUUAACAAAAAGUUAUUUUUUUUUAUAAAAACAAUUCACUAGAUGUACCAUUAUGCUAGCACCCGUAUAAGAGAAUAUUUGGAGAUGUGAAUGGCAAAAAUGUCCAAUACUGCUGUUGCUUUGCAUUACUGCAUUGAUCAGUUUACACAAAUGCAGACAUUCACAAACCCAAGAACAUGUGUGUACAUGAAUACAUCAUUAGACCAUAUAUAAAGUCUACACUCAAAAAAAUGAACUUUCCCUAUUGUUAGUUUUACUAAACCCAUCCUUGUUCACAUUACAUAAAACAUAAUAGUAAUUAAAUUAACAUAAGUUUACCAUGUUAUUUCUACAAAAAUGUAGUACUGUAGGCUUUACUUAAUAAGGGUUUGACAGGCCAACUUAACAUUGUUGAGUAAAACGCAAAAACCUCUUAAAAUUGGAUAUUUGCUGAUACCGUAGCUACCUACCUGGAGGCGGAGCAACGGAACAGUCAGAGAGAGGAACAUGUGAAGCACAUGAGGAGGAGAAGAUGGUGGCUUUGUCAGAUUGCUGCUGAAUUCAGUCGAAUCACUACUGUCCCACUAAUUCAAACAUUUUUCAAAACUGGAUGGUUACACCAGCAAGCUGGACAGCAUUUACCGUACAAAAGAAGAAAUUGCAAAACGGAAAAUUUGAAAACUCAUGGCUACCAUCGACAAGAAUGAUGCCAUCUCAACUUGGAGAGCUUGCAUUCUCAGAGCACUUUCUGUGUAUCUUAAUGAAGACUAUUAAAACCUCAUGAAGGAGUAUACAGCGACAGACUUUGAGAGAGACAUGGCCAAUACUGUCAUUUAAAUCUACAUCGUUAAGCCUGAAGGUGUAGAAGUCUGUGACCCACCAUCAGUUGCUGGACUGAUUUUUGAGGGAGUAAAAGUGCUUCAGAACCUUGGUGAUGUCACCAAGGCUUGUUCUCUUUCUUGGAGAGUCAAAUACAGCGUGAAUCUCAGUUAUCCUUCAGACCUGAAAUACACUUUUGAGUUUUUCAGAAAGUGUUGCUGGGACUUGCACAUAAACUGUCACACAAAAUACAAGUUCUCAAAAACAAACUUGUUGGCUGAAUCAGUACAUCAUUCUGGACGGAUGAAAGAAAUAGAGGAAGAAGCUUUUUUGAGACACUUAAAUUGUUUCUAGUUUUAAAAUUAAGGGCCAAUUUUAAAGUUAUCUUUGUCGAUGGCACCAAAGUUUUAAAUGGAGUUCUACAACUUUAAAUGGUUAUAAUUGUUUGAUUAUUUACAAAGAUUCAGAUUUUCAGUUUUAUUAUUUUCUUUGCUUUUUUUAAAUUCUUAUGCUGCUUGUCUUAAACUUUCAUUUUCUUUUUCAAAGUAAAAUUUAUUACUUGCAGUUGCACAUAUUGAAAGAACAUUUUGGUCAAUAGUAAAACUUCUUUUAUAAAUUUUUUUUAUGUUUAUUUUUUAAACAAGCUAUUGUUUUGUGGUGGUUUUCAUAAAUAAAGGUCAGUUGUAUACUUUAUAUUAAACCUUUUGAAAUAUCAGCAAUUGAGCAUUGUAGCAUUUUGUGACACAGGAAAAAAAUGUCAAAUUACUUUUGUAAAUUUGCUCUUAUACAUUUUUCUUCCAAUAUUUGAAGUAGCACAUUGUAAGAAUGUUCACUAUUGACCAAAUGUUGCUUUCGCAUUUUUUUUUCUUUCUUUUUGUACUUUUAUUUGAACUGUUUGAGAAUGUUUACAAAAAUAGAGGCCAGUUUUAAUGUUACUCUCACUAUUGAUUGUAAAGAUCAGAAAUUAAUUUUAGCAGUAUUUUAACAUUCCAUGUACAACAUUUUUCAAAGUAAGAUUAUUUCAGAUUCUUAAAGCCAGUUGCACUUUAAAAGACCCUGUAAAUGUUAACUGAAAGCAUCUGAUGUUUUAGUGUGUUUGUUUCAAAGGAAAUUGAAAUUGUUUUAUGGGUUUUUAGCAGUUGUAUGUUGCAAAACAUUGCAAAGAAAAUAAAUUCAUUUUGUUUCUAAAAA